rnacentral:sRNA from 1 species
UAAGGCGAACUUGUCUGUUUGCAAACGUU